GACGAACGCUGGCGGCGUGCUUAACGCAUGCAAGUCGAACGGUGAAGGGACCAGCUUGCUGGUUCUGGAUGAGUGGCGAACGGGUGAGUAACACGUGAGUAACCUGCCCCCUUCUUCUGGAUAACCGCAUGAAAGUGUGGCUAAUACGGGAUAUUCUGGGUCUGUCGCAUGGCGGGCCCGGGAAAGAUAUUGCUUCGGUGGGGGAUGGGCUCGCGGCCUAUCAGCUUGUUGGUGGGGUGAUGGCCUACCAAGGCGGUGACGGGUAGCCGGCCUGAGAGGGUGGACGGUCACACUGGGACUGAGACACGGCCCAGACUCCUACGGGAGGCAGCAGUGGGGAAUAUUGCACAAUGGGCGCAAGCCUGAUGCAGCGACGCCGCGUGAGGGAUGGAGGCCUUCGGGUUGUAAACCUCUUUCGCCAGUGAAGCAGGCCUGCUCCUUGUGGGUGGGUUGACGGUAGCUGGAUAAGAAGCGCCGGCUAACUACGUG
rnacentral:rRNA from 1 species